rnacentral:rRNA from 1 species
GAUGAACGCUGGCGGCGUGCCUAAUACAUGCCAGUCGAGCGAACAGACGAGGAGCUUGCUCCUCUGACGUUAGCGGCGGACGGGUGAGUAACACGUGGAUAACCUACCUAUAAGACUGGGAUAACUUCGGGAAACCGGAGCUAAUACCGGAUAAUAUAUUGAACCGCAUGGUUCAAUAGUGAAAGACGGUUUUGCUGUCACUUAUAGAUGGAUCCGCGCCGCAUUAGCUAGUUGGUAAGGUAACAGCUUACCAAGGCAACGAUGCGUAGCCGACCUGAGAGGGUGAUCGGCCACACUGGAACUGAGACACGGUCCAGACUCCUACGGGAGGCAGCAGUAGGGAAUCUUCCGCAAUGAGCGAAAGCCUGACGGAGCAACGCCGCGUGAGUGAUGAAGGUCUUCGGAUCGUAAAACUCUGUUAUUAGGGAAGAACAAAUGUGUAAGUAACUAUGCACGUCUUGACGGUACCUAAUCAGAAAGCCACGGCUAACUACGUG